rnacentral:lncRNA from 1 species
CACCUUCUCCUGCAGCGUCCCUGGGCACAGACUGCACCUGCGCGCCCACCUUGGCUUAACUCUUGGGGAGGCCAGCAGCGCCGUGCGUGCGCAGGCCGAGCAGCUGGGAGCCGCCUUCCCUUUGCAGCCCGCCAGGGUGUGGCGGUGCAGCUACGCAGCGGCGCUCCCCAACGGCCCCAACCGUCCACCGCCUUGAGCCGUUGGUGGCUUCGAAAUCGCGUGCGUGGCCUUGGCGUGAAGCCGCUUGGCGUACGGCCCCUGGUGCGCGCCGCCGCCUCUGCUUGGAGAAGAAAUAAAAAAAUAAAAAUGUGGUCCGUAUCUGUGUGCACAAGAUUACCCAGGCUUCCUAAGACGCUCAAAGGGAGACUCCUCCUGAGAACGCUGUUCCUGAGACAGUUGUCUAUGGCCUGGAGAUGUGGUAGAAUUCAUCACCCACAUCAUCUGAGCCGGGUGUUUUCUGAACGGUUUUAAUGAUUUCGUUUCUUUUCUGGUUAAAGGACACUCCCAGCUAUGUGUUUCCUCUUGUGUCAGUUUUGGCAAACUUUGUGUUCUAGAAAGUUGUCCAUUUUCCAUAAAUGUUCAAAUCUACUAGUACUGUCUCCACUUUGUCUCCUGUUAUUUGUGCUUUCCUUUCUUUAACUGAAAUCGGCAUUCUUGUCCUUAAAUCUAUUCACAGCAUCAUCGUUUCAGCCUGAGAAUCCCCUCAGUAUUAUACUUUUUUAAAAGUCAACUCUGUUCUUCUUAACUACUUCUUUCUGUAUUCUCUGGGUUUAUUGCUUUGCUUUUCUGUUGUUUUUUAAAGAUUUAUUUAUUUAUUUGAAAGUCAGAGUUACACAGACAGAGAAGGAGAGACAGGGGUCUUCCAACUGCUGGUUCACUCCCCAAUUGGCCGAAAUGGCUGGAGCUGUGCCGAUCAGAAGCCAGGAGCCUGGAGCUUCUUCCAUGGCCCCUACGUGGGUGCAGGGCCCAAGGGCUUGGGCCAUCUUCCACUGCUUUCCCAAGACCAUAGCAGAGAGCUGGAUUGAAAGUGGAGCAGUCAGGGAUCGAACCAGCACCCAUAUGGGAUGACAGCACUGCAGGCCAGGGCUUUAACUCACUGCACCACAGUGCCGGCCCCCAAAAUAAAUCUUUUUUAAAAAAAAGAAAUGUGUGGAAG